GGUGAACGCUGGCGGUAGGCCUAACACAUGCAAGUCGAACGGCAGCACAGUAAGAGCUUGCUCUUACGGGUGGCGAGUGGCGGACGGGUGAGGAAUACAUCGGAAUCUACUUUUUCGUGGGGGAUAACGUAGGGACACUUACGCUAAUACCGCAUACGACCUACGGGUGAAAGCAGGGGAUCUUCGGACCUUGCGCGAUUGAAUGAGCCGAUGUCGGAUUAGCUAGUUGGCGGGGUAAAGGCCCACCAAGGCGACGAUCCGUAGCUGGUCUGAGAGGAUGAUCAGCCACACUGGAACUGAGACACGGUCCAGACUCCUACGGGAGGCAGCAGUGGGGAAUAUUGGACAAUGGGCGCAAGCCUGAUCCAGCCAUACCGCGUGGGUGAAGAAGGCCUUCGGGUUGUAAAGCCCUUUUGUUGGGAAAGAAAAGCAGCAGGUUAAUACCCCGCUGUUCUGACGGUACCCAAAGAAUAAGCACCGGCUAACUUCGUG
rnacentral:rRNA from 1 species